ensembl:lncRNA
AACCAGGCGGGAGAGAUGCUGGUUUGUGUUGUAACAGGAGAUUAGUGGAUAGUGGUGUGCACCUGGCUUCCGUGGAGGAAUGAGGGAGCGAGGCAGCAGAAACCCUGAGAGCAGAGAUCUCUCGUUAGGGCCGAGGGGGGAGAGCAUCUCCAGCUCUCGCAGUGACCUAAAGCUGACAGGGUAGAGAGACAAGGAGAGCCAGCCGGCAUUCCUCCUGUCUUCUCUGACUGACAGGCAAGGGGAGCAGAGAAACAGGGGGACACGCUGGCAAAAUAAGGAGCAAGUCACUAAUUCCUCAUCCGGGGAAGCAGGUGUCAACCCCUAGGCAGGCUCGUGCAGCCACGCACUCAGGGUCUCCAGCAGACACAGGCGGGCGUUUUACCCUGGGUCAGCUGGCUGUGAGAGGAAGGAACCGGCCGACCUUGGGGCAGCCGUCCGGACUUCCAGAAGCUAAAAGGAAAGACGUGGGCCGCUGGAAGUAGAUCUGAGAAACGCUGUCUAAGCCGUCUGUGCCCAGAUCCAGGAGGAGGCACUUGUGGGCAGAAAAGGAUUAGUCUUGCCAGGAAGACUUCCUCAAGCAGGAUGCAGGACGUGAAGAGCAUCAGACCUGGAAAAAGGACAUUUCCUCCAAAUGUUAUCAUUCUGUUGAAACAGAAGGGAGCGGGGUUCUGAGCCACGCGUCUAUUUGCCACUGACACCCAAAAUCCUCUUGUUACAAGCCGCAUAGACUACCCACUCCGUUUUGCUGCAGUGUGAUUUGUUAAAAUAAAUAUAUAGCUAAAAUCACAUUUCCAGGCUGAACUAUUUGGAAACAAAAAAGAAAACGUCCAGUUUUCCUGUAGUAAAUUGUGAGUUAAUAUAAAAAACCAUCUUAAAUCUGGUGGAAAAUGGAACCACGUCAGCUGCUGGCGUCUGGUGGUUGAUGAAACACAGCCCCUGCCCUCACGAAACCAGCCACUGGGAGGAACCACCAUCGGAAGCAAUUUGGUUGUGGUCAUGGGAGAAGAACCUGUGAACAGCUCAGCCCAGCUGAAACUUCUCUUCCCGUUUAUGUCAUAACAUGUUAAAAUACAACUAUUUCUUAUGGACAGAGUAAAGGAAGAAGAUGUAAAAAAGAAAAAAAAGGUUGAAAUCACUUGUCAUUAUUAGGAAUUCAUUGGAACCCCAUAAAUCCAGUCCUGGGUCACUAGUUGAAUUUGCUUUAAAGCCUCCUGUUUCGGUUGAGUUUUUCCAAUAGAGAUUUCUCUUGUCUUUCUUUCCCUUCUCCAGGCGAACAGUAUUUGCUCCUUGUCUUUGUUUUCUCUAUUUCUCUGACUCUCUCUCCUAGUAGUUUCUAUGCUUUUUCUUCCUCUUUGGACAAGCCCAGCUCCCCUGCCCCGCCCCACUCCAUGCCACAGCCUUACCAUAACCACCAGCCGUUCACUUAAAAGGGGAGGAGAGAGCGUAGAGAGAACCAGAGGGAUGGCGGCGUGAGAGGGACGCAGCCCAACGUUGCUGGCUUUGAAGAUGGAGAAACAGUCAAGCGCCAAGGCACGUGGGCCUCUAGAAGCUGGAAAAGGACCUAAACAACUGGAGAAAUUGUGGAGAAGUCUGUCGUGCAGGACAACAGGAAUAUACCACACAUUUACAACAAACAAAAAGUUUACAGACCCAUAGACUGCAGCGGGUCACAAGAGGAAAGUGGCUUCCCGAAAUAACAUAGAGGAUCUGAAAUGAUUUUAAGACUCUUAACUCCCAACUCAGAGAACUUCCAUGAACAAAAUAGAGAAUUUCCUAUAUAAAUAACUCCAGGAAUUAUUUAAAAGAGUGGAAAGUGUAUGGGUUUCUGUGAAUUCAUGUGAUAAGUCUCUACUAGGAAUGAACUUUUCUGCUUCUAUCUUAGAUGCUGUUGGACCAGAUUCUGAGUAAAUUAUAUCUUUGCUUGAGAUUUGCUGUCAUAAUUUGAGGCCAUGCUAAUACAUGUAAUACUUGUGACAAGAACAAGCCAUAUUUCUGUCAAUAACAUGCAUUUUAUAAUAACAGUUUGCUUUUCCAUAUGCCUCUAAGAAACUCAACAUGAUAUUUUCCUUCAACUUUCAGCUUUGUGGUUUUAUAAGCUGGAUUUUCAAAUGACAUUGAAAUGCAGCACUAUGUUCUAAAAAUAUAUUCACUUGUUCCCUAAUACAACACUCCUAAGACAUAAGCAAUCACUUUUUAUGCUGCUGUAAAGCUACAAUGAUGCUAAACUCUUGCCAAGUCAAUAGGUUCGACUAGAGGAGCCAUUACAUGAAUCAUAAAUCAUGACAAAGGCCCCUAUCAUACCUUAUAUUUUUUUUGGUCUCCGAAGAACCAUGCAUUAAAAUAAAAGCUAAAAUCUAUAAUGAUCUUAAUUUCUGCCUGUUGAUAUCCCUCCGUUUUUACCCUAUACCUCAAUGAUCAUAAUAAGCACUCUGAAACCUUAUAUGGUUCCCAAUUCAGCUCUAAGUGCUUUUAGUAGAACAGCAUUAUAAGUCCUUAAAGAAUGAUGUGUUUAUAAUAGUAAUUAUUUAUUCUCAUGCUGAAUUGAAAUUGCAGCUCUUUCUAUGGCAAACCAUUGCUAUUCCAUUAUUUACCUGUUCUAGCAAACACCAUUAAACUUUCGUAAAGCAGACAAUCCUUUUAUUUUUGCCGUUGUGAAAAUAUCUUCUAAAACACACCAGUCAGUGCUCAUUCCUGCUCCUAAUGAAAGGUGGAGGGACCUGUCUUCGGCCAGACAUCACAGUGUGCUUCGAAGCUUUGCUAUAAGGCUCAAUCAUCAUGCUACAGGUCAGAGAAGUAGAAGUGUUUCAUGGUACCAGCUCUGUUCCUAAGGAGCAGAUUCAGAUUCAGUGUGAACACUGCAAAACGAGGGGUAGAAAUAAGACAUCUCUAAGGAGCUUUUAGCUCCAAAGGUCUGGAUUAGUUCAUAAAUGAGAGGUUGGGCCACAUCUGUACUGGCCCAGGUUGAUGACCUUAAAUUUCCAGUGUCAACCACUUCUGUUAUCUUUAGCUUUCUUUUCAAAGCAAAGAGGAUUUCCUAAUUAACAGAGGUUUAAUCUUCAUUAGUAGAAAAAAUAAUCAGAACACUGAUUUGCCGAGUAUUGCAGUAGAUCAUGUGAUGUGAACGAAUACAGUCUGUGUAAAAACAGACCUUACCAUAAAUGCCUGCUAAAACUCAUGCUUGUCCUACACAGCUCUCAUACCCUCAAGUUCUCUGGUUUUGCCUACCAUUCUUAGGGUUCAGAAAUCAAGCAGAAACGAUUCAGAUCUUCAACAGUUGGGGCUUUAGUUUUUGUUCUUCUUACGUUCUUACCAUGGUGUCAGAAAAAUGGGUAAAAAUCAUUAGAGAAAUAAUCCAAUCUACUUAAGUUUACUCUGAGAUGUUUUAUAGUUAUGUUGAAAUGACUUUGUUGUAACCGUCUGGGGUGGGUGACAUGCUGUUAUUGGCUAUGCUUUAAAAUAAUGUUUUAAAAUACGGAGUAAACUAAAAUACACACAAAAAAUGUGUGAGGUGUAAGGAAUGAAGAUUCAAAUGCAUAUCCCAUCCAACUCUUGGUUUAAGAAAAUGGUUAUCAUUCCCUUUGAAAGCUCUUUUGUAAUCCUUCUGAAUUCCAUUCUCCUUCUGCUCAGAGAAAAUUAAAUAUAUUUUGUGCUUAAGGUUCCUGUGCCUUGGUUUUUGACUCUUGCAUAUAGCUUUGAAUGCCAAAACAACAUAAUGUUUAAUGUUUAUGUGGUUCUAAAUAGCAAUCAAAUUGCAUGAAACCACCUAUGAUUUUCCUUUUAAUUUUAUUAAACAUUAUGUUCCAGAAAAUUAUUUUUAUUGUUAAGGAUGGAAUACAUUCAUGCUUAUUGCUAAAAGCUCACGCGUUGAAUUACUGGGGUCCAGGUUCAGCUUUGUCAGAGAACAUCAAUUUGUUUUCCCAAAUGCUUGAAGCAAUCGGCACUCAUGUCAUUUUAUAAAAGUUGCAU